rnacentral:ncRNA from 1 species
CUUAUCAAGAGUGGUGGAGGGACUGGCCCGUUGAAACCCAGCAACCUAUUAACAGUUACUAGUUAAUAAACUAUUAACUAAAAACUAUUAAUUAUUAACUAUAUUAAUGUGGUGCUAAAUCCAACAGCAAUGGCUGAGAGAUAAGG